CCAGCCCCUCCCGCAGCCCCUCGCCCCCUCCGCCGCGGGGAGCGGGCGGGACUCACCGCACAGCAUGAAGAGCAGCACGCAGGCCAGGGUGGCCACGAUCACCACAAAGGGAAAUCGGGGGAAAUAUCUUCCGGGAAUCGUGAGACCCUUGCAUCAUUCAUGGCCUGUUUGUUUAUUAUCAUUUGCACCGUGCGUUGAUGAAGCAAGACUCUUGCUGAAGGCUGUUGUUGUGAAUAAGGCUUAUUAAAAUGAAUAUGCACAAGAAAAGCAA